rnacentral:rRNA from 1 species
GACGAACGCUGGCGGCGUGCUUAACACAUGCAAGUCGAACGGAAAGGCCUGCUUUCCCUUGUGGAUUGCGGGUACUCGAGUGGCGAACGGGUGAGUAACACGUGAGUGAUCUGCCCCCAACUUGGGUAUAAGCCUGGGAAACUGGGUCUAAUUCCCGAUAGGACUGCAGGGUGGUGCCUGUGGUGGAAAACGAUUUUCUAGUGGUUGGGGAUGAGCUCGCGGCCUAUCAGCUUGUUGGUGGGGUAAUGGCCUACCAAGGCGGCGACGGGUAGCCGGCCUGAGAGGGUGGACGGCCACAUUGGGACUGAGAUACGGCCCAGACUCCUACGGGAGGCAGCAGUGGGGAAUAUUGCACAGUGGGCGGAAGCCUGAUGCAGCGACGCCGCGUGGGGGAUGACGGCCUUCGGGUGGUAAACUCCUUUCGACCGCGAGGAAGCCACCUGGUUGGAAGGGUGGUGACGGUAGUGGUAGAAGAAGCACCGGCUAACUACGUG